GGGCGGACGCUCGCGGCCGGAUCGGGGCCGGCGGUGCUGUCGGGCCCGGCUCGCUGCACGGCCUGCCUGGCACGGCGUAGGCAGUCAGGCCGUGACCCCAUUUCUUCCACUAUGCUAUUAAACGAGGAGCUGCAGGAGCGGCAGCAUGUGCCCUGUCUGCCCUGAGAUGGCAGCGGGACAUUUGGGCACGGAUCCGGCGAAAGCGGAGGGUGCCCUGGUGCGCUGAACGGCUGAACAUGGAUCACUCCUGCCGUAAACCAGUACGCAGGCAGCAUCAAGAGAGAAUAGGAUUUGUCGCACCAACACUGAAUGAAGACUAAGCUUCAGCCCUUUAUACGGAACUGCUGAAAGAGGAAGUUGCAAUUCUUGCAGACAAAGCAGUCAGUCUUGUCUGCAUGAGACCAUGCCUCUCACAGAAGGCAAAUGAUGUCUUACUUCAAAAACUUCAUGAAAUGCAAACUCAUUGAUUCACUGUUCUUAGAAUUACUACACUUGAAUAACUGGGGAAAGUUAUGGUUCCUACUCACAUCAAAUUAAGAGUUAUAGUCUGAUUUACUCUGAAGACUACAGAAAUAAAAAGAAAAAAAGGCAUAAACAUUCUUUUAGCAUACAGGGACUUUUCUACUAGCAGGAAGAGCUUUUUAGAUAAAUGGUGAACUAAAACUUAACAAGUACGGAACAGAAUUUUUUCAUAGCUAGAAAAAGCCUCUGAAAAUGUGAAGUUGCCAAUAAAAAGGAAUGCAAGAGCUAAGUACAUAAUAUAGCAAUACUUGUGUGCUAUUGCAAGAGGAAGAAUAGAUUUCUAUCACUAAAUCAGUAGAACACUAACUGCUUAAAAAGGCGAGCUGUGAUGUCAUGUUAGUGAGGUGCUCCACAGAUUGAGUGUGUAUCAUUUUAUCUUCACCUCUGUCUGCAGAAAUAAGGUGUGCUUCAGGUUGUAAACUUGGGUGCUUUUCAUGAUUGAAAUAAUAGAUUGGACCUUUUGCUUUAUAUUGUAUGUGUCUAGAUUAAGACAAAUGUGUGGUAAUGUGUUCUGGUUUUACUCCACACUGCUUCACAGUUGCCUGCAAGAUCUGGUAGGAUGGUGACAGUACCACAUUUCCUUGGACAAGUAUCAGAACUUCAACUUGAACAAUGUGGGAUUAAGUUUUACUCAUUUUAGAAGAGCACUCCUAUCCAACAUAUGGACAAGACAGUAUGAAGAAGCACACUCCUUAAAUUGACAAUGAUUUAUUGUGUUUAGGAACAUUCAAUAAAUACCAAUCUUUGAGCUUUA